rnacentral:ncRNA from 10 species
AGCAAGCAUCUUGAGUGAGAUUAAAUUCUCCUCCAACCUGCCAACUCCGGCAAGGUGGAAAAGUGAUGCGGUUAACCAACAAUUAAAGGAGUAAAA